rnacentral:rRNA from 1 species
GCGAGUGAAGCGGCAAAAGCUCCACUUUGAAAGCGUUUCGGCGCGUUGUAGUGUGGUUCAGUCUUUGAAUUUAGGAGAACUAAGUCCUUUGGAACAAGGCGCCAUAGAGGGUGAGAGCCCCGUGAGUUCUUUAAUGGAUUCUUUAAGUCUGUACCGAAGAGUCGAGUUGUUUGGGAAUGCAGCUCUAAGUGGGUGGUAAAUUCCAUCUAAGGCUAAAUAUUGGCGAGAGACCGAUAGCGAACAAGUACAGUGAUGGAAAGAUGAAAAGCACUUUGAAAAGAGAGUGAAACAGUACGUGAAAUUGUUGAAAGGGAAGGGUAUUUGGCUCGACAUGGGUCCUGUGCACCGUUGCUUCUUGUAGGCGGCGCUCUGCUGGGGCCUGGGCCAGCAUCAGUUUUCUGGCGGGGAUAAGGUUUUGUGAACUACAAUGUAGGGAUCAAGGCGAUGCCCGCACGGGGGACUGAGGACUGCCGUUUUGUAGGAUGCUGGCAUAACGGCCAAAUACCGCCC